CUAACACAUGCAAGUCGAACGAAGCGGUUCUGCGGAAGUUUUCGGAUGGAAGCGGAAUUGACUGAGUGGCGGACGGGUGAGUAACGCGUGGAUAACCUGCCUCAUACAGGGGGAUAACAGUUAGAAAUGACUGCUAAUACCGCAUAAGCGCACGGGAACGCAUGUUUCUGUGUGAAAAGCCGAGACGGUAUGAGAUGGAUCCGCGUCUGAUUAGCUAGUUGGUGAGGUAACGGCCCACCAAGGCGACGAUCAGUAGCCGACCUGAGAGGGUGACCGGCCACAUUGGGACUGAGACACGGCCCAAACUCCUACGGGAGGCAGCAGUGGGGAAUAUUGCACAAUGGGGGAAACCCUGAUGCAGCGACGCCGCGUGAGUGAAGAAGUAUUUCGGUAUGUAAAGCUCUAUCAGCAGGGAAGAGAAUGACGGUACCUGACUAAGAAGCCCCGGCUAACUACGUGCCAGCAGCCGCGGUAAUACGUAGGGGGCAAGCGUUAUCCGGAUUUACUGGGUGUAAAGGGAGCGUAGACGGCAUAGCAAGUCUGAAGUGAAAUACCCGGGCUCAACCCGGGAGCUGCUUUGGAAACUGU
rnacentral:rRNA from 1 species